AGAGUUUGAUCCUGGCUCAGAACGUACGCUGGCGGCACGCCUAAUACAUGCAAGUCGAACGAAGUAGCAAUACUUAGUGGCAGACGGGUGAGUAACAUGUAGGUAUCUACCCUUUGGUCUGGAAUAACACGAGGAAACUUGUGCUAAUACCGGAUAAGUCUUUACGGAGAAAGCUUUAUGCACCAUUGGAUGAGCCUGCACUUGAUUAGUUUGUUGGUGGGGUAAUGGCCUACCAAGACAAUGAUCAAUAGCUGAUUUGAGAGGAUGAUCAGCCACAUUGGGACUGAGACACGGCCCAAACUCCUACGGGAGGCAGCAGUAGGGAAUCUUGCACAAUGGAGGAAACUCUGAUGCAGCGAUGCCGCGUGAGUGAAGAAGGCCUUUGGGUUGUAAAGCUCUUUCGUCGGGGAAGAAAAUGACUGUACCCGAAUAAGAAGGUCCGGCUAACUUCGUGCCAGCAGCCGCGGUAAUACGAAGGGACCUAGCGUAGUUCGGAAUUACUGGGCUUAAAGAGUUCGUAGGUGGUUAAAAAAGUUGGUGGUGAAAUCCCAGAGCUUAACUCUGGAACUGCCAUCAAAACUUUUUAGCUAGAGUAUGAUAGAGGAAAGCAGAAUUUCUAGUGUAGAGGUGAAAUUCGUAGAUAUUAGAAAGAAUACCGAUUGCGAAGGCAGCUUUCUGGAUCAUUACUGACACUGAGGAACGAAAGCAUGGGUAGCGAAGAGGAUUAGAUACCCUCGUAGUCCAUGCCGUAAACGAUGUGUGUUAGACGUUGGAAAUUUAUUUUCAGUGUCGCAGCGAAAGCGAUAAACACACCGCCUGGGGAGUACGACCGCAAGGUUAAAACUCAAAUGAAUUGACGGGGACCCGCACAAGUAGUGGAGCAUGUGGUUUAAUUCGAAGAUACGCGCAGAACCUUACCAACACUUGACAUGUUCGUCGCGACUCUAAGAGAUUAGAGUUUUCGGUUCGGCCGGACGAAACACAGGUGCUGCAUGGCUGUCGUCAGCUCGUGUCGUGAGAUGUUGGGUUAAGUCCCGCAACGAGCGCAACCCCUACUUUUAGUUGCCAUCAUUUAGUUGGGCACUCUGAAAGAACUGCCAGUGAUAAGCUGGAGGAAGGUGGGGAUGACGUCAAGUCCUCAUGGCCCUUACGUGUUGGGCUACACACGUGCUACAAUGGUAUCUACAACAGGAAGCAAGAUGGCAACAUUAAGCAAAUCCCAAAAAGAUACCUCAGUUCGGAUUGCACUCUGCAACUCGAGUGCAUGAAGCUGGAAUUACUAGUAAUCGUGGAUCAGCGUGCCACGGUGAAUACGUUCCCGGGUCUUGUACACACCGCCCGUCACACCAUGGGAGUUGGUUCUACCUUAAGGCAAAGUUUAAAACCUUUGACCACGGUAUAGUCAGCGACUGGGGUGAAGUCGUAACAAGGUAACC
rnacentral:rRNA from 1 species